rnacentral:lncRNA from 1 species
UAGAAUUUCUCAAAGGGAAAAGAAAAGUGUUCAAAAAAAAUAUGUUUUAGUUGUUUAGGAUUUAGUUUCAUUAUUUAAAGGAAAAAGGAAAAAUGGAAAAUGAAAAGAUGAUGAAUUGGAAUUUGCACUUUCUCGUUUCUAGUUUAUUUUUCAUCCAAUGUUAAUUAAAUUGUUUUUGUUAUUUGUUUUUACUAUUAUCAAUGUUAAUUACUUAAAAAAAAAAAAAAAAAAAAGGGAAUACGCGAUGGCAAGCUGCGUUUUUACGCAGCUUGCAAGUAAGGGCUCGGGCAGCCCUUGGCUGCAAUUUUAGAGGAGACAAUGGGAGUUUUAGGGUUGGGGUGGCCCCAUAUAAAUAGAAGAUGC